rnacentral:rRNA from 1 species
GACGAACGCUGGCGGCGUGCUUAACACAUGCAAGUCGAACGGAAAGGCCCUGCUUUUGUGGGGUGCUCGAGUGGCGAACGGGUGAGUAACACGUGAGUAACCUGCCCUUGACUUUGGGAUAACUUCAGGAAACUGGGGCUAAUACCGGAUAGGAGCUCCUGCUGCAUGGUGGGGGUUGGAAAGUUUCGGCGGUUGGGGAUGGACUGGCGGCUUAUCGGCUUGUUGGUGGGGUAGUGGCUUACCAAGGCUUUGACGGGUAGCCCGCCUGAGAGGGUGACCGGCCACAUUGGGACUGAGAUACGGCGCAGACUCCAACGGGAGGCAGCAGUGGGGAAUAUGGCACAAUGGGCGGAAGCCUGAUGCAGCAACGCCGCGUGCGGGAUGACGGCCUUUGGGUUGUAAACCGCUUUCGCCUGUGACGAAGCGGGAGUGACGGUAAUGAGUAAAGAAGCACCGGCUAACUACGUG